rnacentral:rRNA from 1 species
GGACUACAGGGGUAUCUAAUCCUGUUUGCUCCCCACGCUUUCGCACCUCAGCGUCAAUAUUGGCCCAGGUCGCCGCCUUCGCCACUGGUGUUCCUCCCGAUAUCUACGAAUUUCACCUCUACACCGGGAAUUCCGCGACCCUCUUCCAUAUUCAAGCCCGACAGUUUCGGGUGCACUUCCUCGGUUGAGCCGAGGGCUUUCACAUCCGACUUGUCGGGCCGCCUACGUGCGCUUUACGCCCAAUGAUUCCGAGCAACGUUUGCACCCUCCGUAUUACCGCGGCUGCUGGCAC